CGGGCGGGAGCCGGGUGCUUCUGGGCCGGCUCCCGGAGGAGGAACGCGGCCUGGGGUCUGGGCCGCCGCCGCCUGCCGUCGCCUCUGCUGCCAACGCCGAGCAGCAUGUGGAGAAACUCUAGAAGAAUCCAAUGGCAACCUUUCCUCUGCAGGAUUUCCCAGUGGCUACUCUUCUUAUACACACUGCAUCUGGAGAGUAUCUGUGACCCCAGGGGAGAAGAUCGUUUUAAAUUUUACUACAGUGGCCCUAUACAAAAGUAGCUUGUGCUGGUGUGACUACACUGAAGUCAGAGAUGGGUGCUGGAGAAAACCCCCUCUCCUUGCUAAGAGAUGAUUCACCCCUUCUGUGGCUGUGCAUAUGGUCUGUCCUGUCUGAAGACAGUUCUUUCAAGAGUCACCUCAGAGUUUAAAAUCUAUCUGUGGAGGUGAGAUACAUAAAAAUGAAGGACAGAUUCAUUCUUCUAACUAGCCUGAUGACUACAGGCCCAAGAAAGAACGUGUAUGGAAAACAGCAGUGACAGAAGGUUGCUACGUCAGGCCGACCUUUCAGGCCUUUGAGGUCAAGUCCCUCGGGCAGCCUUCCCAGGGCACAUCCUCCAUAAAUGACUGUACAUUUAAGGGGAUCCUCAUUAAAGAAGCAAAUACCUAGAGAAGCAGCUUUUUAAUCAGCGAAGACGCAACGGAUUGCCUAUAAAAUGUAACAUCAAGAGCGAGGAGGGGUUUUUUUUCUUCUUUCCUCUUACUGCAGACAUUUUCAAGAAGAUUAAAGUGAAUUUACAUUAUCUGUGCUUGUUGAAUUAGAAUGUUUGAAGCCCUGACAACAGUUUCUUUUAACAAAUGCCCAGGCUUGUUUCACAAAGGAUACUUGAAGGGUCCAUUAAAUAAAAAAACUUUUAUUUCUCUUCUAAACUAAGAGGUUAAAAGGUAGAUUGUCCUUUGUUGUUGUUGUUGGGGGAAAGCCAUUUUUCAUUUUUUAUCAUUAUGCAGAAAAUUGUUUAUAUCAGAAAUAGAGAUUUAAAUAUUCUUAGGAGCUUUUGACUUCAUCAAAAAUAUUUAUUGAGAAAGAGCUCAGCACCAACAUUGCAUUAUUAGGUGAGGGCAGAAUAAACCAAAGGCCAGUCAGAGGCCUGUGUCCAGUCCUCUUCCAGGUUCCAGGUGGAAGCCCCAGCUCCAGCCCCCAGUCCCAGCCUGACCCCGCCAGCUCCAGCCUUGGGUUCAGGGUCUCACAGACACUACGUUGCUCUCAGCUGUCUCCAAGGGGCUGCUGUGGUCUCCUCCAAGGCUCCAGCUCCCUUUCUGUCCCAGUGGACUUCCCCACGGGACAAGGGGCUUCCCAGGGGAGGGUGCUUCUCCUCCUUUGCUGCUCCCUCCCCCAGGGGACAGGUCCCACCCCAAUUUCCUUUUUUUCUACCUGGUUUUGUGAGGAUUAUCUUUGUAUUUCUGAUUGUAAGAUAUUCUGCCAAAGUUCAGUAUGUAUUCUGUGAGGGUUCCUUAUUCAGAUGUAGUUUUAAUGUACUCACGAGAGAGCGUGAGCUAUGAGUCCUACUCUGCCAUCUUGGCCAUCUUCCCCCCAAAUUUUUAUCUUGGUACCAUUGACCCUUUGAACAACACAGGUUCAACAGAGAUCCACUUUUAUGUGGAUUUUUUAAAAAGCAUAGUAACUGUUAUUUUCAUUUUCUUUAAGUGUGGGGAAGAGUUUUUGUUUGAUUAGAGAUCACAAUAUACAGAAUCAAAAGAACUAGGGUUUAAGUGGUGAAUCUCUCCAGACCGUUUCAGCCUCCUUCCCUUGGAUAAGUCAUUUAUUAAUUUGUUUGUUUUUCAACUGCACCAGCUUGGCACGCCUAACUCCAACAUUGUUGAAGGGUCAAAUGUACAUUUUGAAUUACCUGAUUAAAAGUUAUCCUUUAAUUUCGUUAAGUGUUUUAUAUUAGUUAAAGUUAAGUAGACUAGUCUUUGUGAAUGAACUAGGAAUCCAGAACAAGGAGAUCUUAAUUAGUUAAAAUUUUUAUGCUUUCCCUGUCCUAUUUUUGGAUAUUUGGCUAAGAAUAUAUAUUGGUUGAUGACAAUAAAAAAGAAGUAUCUCUUCAGAAUUACAGUUUAGGUUACCGUUCUACUCUGAAAGAUUAGAUCAAAUAAACUUGACUAAGCUUGCAUAAUUAUUGGUAGCACUGUGAUUGAAACCAGUUUCAUGGCCUGGCACUCCUGCACCCAGGUCUUGGUCACAAAGUGAGGCAUCUGUAUUCUCUCAUGGCAUUAAAUUUAUUCCCUUCAUAAGUAUUGUCAUUUGUACGUUUGUAUUGUUUGAUCACUGAAUGUCAAUCAGGGACAUGUCUGUUUAUUCAUCACUGUUCAUACACUAUCAAGUAUAUAUUAACCGGCAAUAGAUUUUCAGUAAAUAUUUAUUAAAUUUAUGAGUGACUUAAAAAUAAUUGUGUCAUGAAGGAAAAAAAAAUCAAAUGGCAACAUUGAAAAACCAGAAUCAUAUGAAAAUAGACCUAACCCGGACUCGUGGCUUUGAUUUUCACAUGAUUGUGCAUAUUUGUUUUUUCUCCUCUAUUUCUGAGCUGUAGUUACAUAUGUAUCAAUAUUUGUUAAAGAUUAAAAAGAAAUAAUAAAAAAUUAAAUAUUAUACUGGUAUAUCUGAAAAUGAUCAUCUAUUCAACUUUUUUCCUUCUUUUAAAAAUUCC